rnacentral:lncRNA from 1 species
CUGGCUCGACCUGCGCGGCCUGCGGUUUCCUAGGAACUCGAGGGCCGCGGCCGGGCCAGGCUCUGCCCGCGGCCUGCUUGGAGCUGGACCGGAGCUGUUUGGUACGGCGAGCCAGGGCAAAGGAGCAUUUUAAAGACAAUGGCAGAUGUAGAUCCUGAUACGUUGCUGGAAUGGCUGCAGAUGGGACAGGGAGAUGAAAGGGACAUGCAGCUAAUAGCCCUGGAGCAGCUAUGCAUGCUGCUUUUGAUGUCUGACAAUGUGGAUCGCUGUUUUGAAACGUAAGUGCAUUCCUGCAUCACCUUCCUCUGCGCCCACUGUGCUGACAUCUGUUUCCAGCUAUUUGCUGACUUCAGUUUGUGUGAAAACUUUGCUAGGGAACUUUAAAAUACCCCUUUAGACAUUUCUGCAGUUGUCUGUGGUUCAUGGAACCCUAGUAAUGAUAAUCGUGAUUAUGUAAAUACAUAUUUGUUCAAUGAGUGUGGAUUAGGAAUACUAACCAUAGCUUGGUUGAGUCAGUUAUGAACCAUCUCAUAAAUUAAAAAGAUUAUAAAUGUUUAUCUUCUUUAAAGCUGUUUUUGUAUUAUAUGACUUGGAGAAUAAGGUCAGAACUACCUGUUUCUUUGGUUUUCAUGUGUCAUUGCUUUUGUUAAAAUAACUUCGGUUAAUACAUUUCAUUUGGAUAUUUCCAAUACUUUUUGAAGUACAGAAGCUUUGAAGUUGUGUGUGUGUGUGUGUGUGUGUGUGUGUACUUUCGUGUAUGCUAUGGUGUGCAUGUGGAAGUCAGAGGACAACUUUUUGGGAGUUGAUCUCUCAUUUUAGCAUGUGGGUUCCAGGAUUAAACUCAGGUUCUCAGGCUUCGUGGUAAGUACUUUUACCAGCUGAGCCAUCUCACUACCCAAAUUUGGAGAGUUUUAAACAGUUGUAUCAGAGAUGAUACUAGAAAGUUUGCAUAAAAAUAUGAAAGGCAUUACUCUACUAGCUCGGCACUUAGGCCAUGAUUUUCCUCUUGUGUGAUUCUGGUUCAGUAAAGGAAUAAACAUUUCUCUGAGUUCAUCUGAGUUGUGAAUUCCAAUAAGUCACUAAAACCUUUUAUAUGUGCUUUAGUGCUAUUUAAAGGUAAUUUAAAAAUAUUUGUGAUAUUGGCUUAAAGCUUGGUAUAAUUAAUGCCUUUGAGGUGGAAAUAGACUAUAUUACUUGCUAAAUCUAUAUUGUUUUUUCAAAGUGCUCUCUCUUUUGAUUUUUAAGUAGUUUGUAUUUUUGUUAAAAAAUAUUAUUUUAGCUGGAUAUGGCUCAUGCUUUUAAUCUCAGCACUUGAGAGGUGAGGUAGGAGCAGGAGUUAAAGGUCUUCCUUGGUUACAUAGUCUGUCCAGCCAGCCUUGGUGACAUCAGUGACAUCCUUGGUGACAUAGUCUGUCCAGCUAGCCAGAGCUGUAGGAGACCUUGUCUC